rnacentral:rRNA from 1 species
UACGUAGGGUGCAAGCGUUGUCCGGAAUUAUUGGGCGUAAAGAGCUCGUAGGCGGUUUGUCGCGUCGGCUGUGAAAACCCGGGGCUCAACCCCGGGCCUGCAGUCGAUACGGGCAAACUAGAGUGUGGUAGGGGAGACUGGAAUUCCUGGUGUAGCGGUGAAAUGCGUAGAUAUCGGGAGGAAUACCUAUGGCGAAGGCAGGUUACUGGGCCAUCACUGACGCUGAGCUGCGAAAGCUAGGGGAGCAAACAGG